CGAGUGUGGCUACUCGAUAGCCUUAGCACGCUAGUUUUGCCUUCUAAUCAAAGGGAAAAUCGAAGUCGAAAAAGUUAGGAGUCAUUCCCACACCCGACCUGAUGCAUUCCCUUAGGUUCAUUCAUUCUCAUUUAUCACUCACUCAUUCUUUUCAAUUCACAUUUUCCUUUCCUUAUUGUUCAUUUUGAUUUCUACUUCACAAAAUUGCAUUUAAUUACACCUAUACGCACUUCUCACUAUAUUUCAUACACUUGCACACAAACACUUGGAAUUUUCAUACAAUUGCACACGUGCACCUUUCCAUACACUUG
rnacentral:lncRNA from 1 species